rnacentral:rRNA from 1 species
CCUACGGGAGGCUGCAGUGGGGAAUAUUGCACAAUGGGGGGAACCCUGAUGCAGCGACGCCGCGUGGGUGAGGAAGUACUUCGGUAUGUAAAGCCCUAUCAGCAGGGAAGAAAAUGACGGUACCUAACUAAGCAUCCCCGGCUAACUACGUGCCAGCAGCCGCGGUAAUACGUAGGGGGCAAGCGUUCUCCGGAUUUACUGGGGGGAAAGGGAGCGUAGACUGCGUGCCAAGUCUGGUGUGAAAGGCCGGGGCUCAACCCCGGGACUGAAUUGGAAACUGCCAGGCUGGAGUGCAGGAGGGGCAAGCGGAAUGCCUAGUGUAGCGGUGAAAUGCGUAGAUAUUAGGAGGAACACCGGUGGCGAAGGCGGCUUGCUGGACGGUAACUGACGUUGAGGCUCGAAAGCGUGGGGAGCAAACAGGAUUAGAUACCCUGGUAGUC